rnacentral:misc_RNA from 1 species
UUUCCGUAGGUGAACCUGCGGAAGGAUCAUUAAAAAAUGGUACUCUACUUGUGAGUGCAUUAAUAAUCCAUCCUACCUUUGUGAAUUUGUUGUAUGAAAUAAUUUUUUUUAAAAAAAAUUACUGAAUGUCUUUCCUGUUGAAAAGUUUGGUCGUAAGACUUGAUUUUUCACAGGGAUAGUCAAUAAUUUUUUUAAAAAGACCUUUUUUUAAAUAAAACUUUUUGUAUUCAUUUGUCUAAAAUAUUUUUAUAAUAUAAAAACAACUUUUGACAAUGGAUCUCUUGGUUCUCGCAACGAUGAAGAACGCAGCAAAAUGCGAUAAGUAGUGUGAAUUGCAGAAUACGUGAAUCAUCGAAUCUUCGAACGCAUAUUGCACUUUUUUAGUUUACUAAAAAAGUAUGUCUGUUUGAGUAUCAGUAAAAUAUUCUCAUAAAAACUUUUCUGUUUUUAUGGUUAUGAGUGUUUUACAACGAUACAAGUUGUUUCACUUUAAAUUUUUUUUAAAAUUUGAAUUUUUCUAAUUUUAAAUUAAAUUGGAUAAAAUUUCCUGUAAAAAGGAAUAAUUAAACAAUUUUAGAUUGAAUUUAGAAAUCCAAAUAAAAGGAAAUUUAUUACAAAUAACUUGAUCUCAAAUCAGAUAAGAGUACCCGCUGAACUUAAGCAUAUCAAUAAGCGGAGGAAAAGAAACUAACAAGGAUUCCUUAGUAACGGCGAGUGAAGCGGGAAGAGCUCAAAUUUGAAAUCUUCAAGGUUUUACCUUGACGAAUUGUAGUUUAAAGAAGUGUUUUCUGUUGAAGUUUCGGUAAAAGUUCUUUGGAAUAGGACAUCAUAGAGGUGAGAAUCCCGUAUUUGUCCGUUAUUUUCAGCUGUGUGAUACUCUUUCAAAGAGUCGGAUUGUUUGGGAAUGCAGUCCAAAUGGUGGUAAAUUUCAUCUAAAGCUAAAUAUUGGCGAGAGACCGAUAGCGAACAAGUACUGUGAGGAAAGAUGAAAAGAACUUUGAAAAGAGAGUUAAACAGUACGUGAAAUUGUCAAAAGGGAAGCGUUUGACACCAGUGUUGUUUCUCGAAAAUCAAUUAAAAAUGGCUUGAUUUUGUGUUGUAUUGACUUAAAAGCUUUCUUCACUUUUUCAUGUCUUUUUUAAUGCACUUUUCGUUUAACAAGUCAACAUCAGUUUCUUUUGUUGUAAAAGGUCAUUGGAAGGUGCUUUCUUUCGGAGAAAGUGUUUAUAGCCUUUGACUCCUGCAAUCGGAGAGACUGAGGUCUGCAGCGUAGAUCUUUUGGAUUAGAUUCAUUUGUGCUAAGUUAUAGCUUUUAUAGACAACUUGUUGACUAUAUUUAGUCUUGUAGCUUACUCGCUUAUGUAAUUUUACCUACGCUUAGGAUGUUG